rnacentral:rRNA from 1 species
GGGCCCGCACAAGCAGCGGAGCAUGUUGUUUAAUUCGAUGCAACGCGAAGAACCUUACCAGGUCUUGACAUUGAAGUAAGCCCGUAGAGAUACGGGGAGCCUUCGGGCAACGGAAAACAGGUGGUGCAUGGUUGUCGUCAGCUCGUGUCGUGAGAUGUUGGGUUAAGUCCCGCAACGAGCGCAACCCUUAUGAUCAGUUACUAACGGGUAAAGCCGAGGACUCUGAUGAGACUGCCGGGGACAACUCGGAGGAAGGUGGGGACGACGUCAAAUCAUCAUGCCCCUUAUGACCUGGGCUACAAACGUGCUACAAUGGCGGCUACAAAGAGGAGCGAGCAUGCAAAUGUAAGCGGAUCUCAAAAAAGCCGUCCCAGUUCGGAUUGUGGGCUGCAACCCGCCCACAUGAAGUUGGAGUUGCUAGUAAUCGCGAAUCAGCAUGUCGCGGUGAAUACGUUCCCGGGCCUU